AGUCGGGCUUAGUGAUCCGGUGGUAGAGAGUGAAUUGCCAUCGCUCAACGGAUAAAAGCUACCCUGGGGAUAACAGGCUUAUCUCUCCCAAGAGUCCAUAUCGACGGGGAGGUUUGGCACCUCGAUGUCGGCUCAUCACAUCCUGGGGCUGAAGUAGGUCCCAAGGGUUGGGCUGUUCGCCCAUUAAAGUGGUACGCGAGCUGGGUUCAGAACGUCGUGAGACAGUUCGGUCCCUAUCCAUCGCGGGCGUAAGAAACUUGAAAGGGGCUGCUCCUAGUACGAGAGGACCGGAGUGGACCGACCAAUGGUGUACCAGUCAUGGCGCCAGCCGUGCAGCUGGGUAGCUACGUCGGGGACGGAUAAACGCUGAAAGCAUCUAAGCGUGAAACCAGCCUAGAGAUGAGGUUUCUCAUUACGAAAGUAAGUAAGGUCCCACAAAGACGAUGUGGUUGAUAGGCCGGGAGUGGAAGUACAGCGAUGUACGGAGCGGACCGGUACUAAUAGACCGAGGACUUGACUUA
rnacentral:rRNA from 1 species